UAUUAUUAUUAUUGUUUUUCUGGUGAGUUUCUUAUUGUUGUGCUCCGGGCAGUACCCUUUGGUCUGUGCACGGAAGAAAACAGUGCCCCAUCUCUCUCUCCUCCUUGUCCUCGUCCUGCAGUUUGAAUUACUUGCUUGGUGUCCAGUUGGCUCCACUCACCAGCUUCUUCGUGAGAAGCCUUAUGAACUGAAGUUUGGAUGCUCUCUUUACACUGACGAAUUUCGACUCAAAAAGGCUUGAUUUUCAACAAGAAAGAAAAACCAAAAACCAUAUUGUAGGGUUCUGAUUUGGAGAUCAUGCCAGUUGGUUUGCAGAAUAUCAGUAAGUACCCACGAUCAGCUGCGUUACCACCCGCGACCAUUUCUUCAUUCCAGCACCAACUGUCCAUGACAAAGUGCAUGAUUGAAUGCCGUAUUAUGAGCAGUCCUUCGGAGACCAAAUCAUUUCGAUGCCACUCUUCCUGCGAUGUUGAGUAGGCUUUUUUACCCCGCGUUUCUCGUGAGCCGCAAUGUUUUGCUGAGCAAUACGUAAGCUCGUAGUCGCACAGAGUUGAACAAGAAUGGUUGGCCACAGAGUUCACAAAACAGAUCGCUUGUAGCUCGAGGAUCGAUAAACUUCGAAACUGUGGUAUCUGUGGAGCAAUCGAACUCGGAGUAGUUAGCUUGCGAAGACAAAGGUUGGAUUCCAAAAACAGGUGUUGAAUGAUGCAGACGAAGAGUGUCUUGCAGAGACGGUUCCAUACUUGCAUUGCUAUGCAUCGAAACCAAUGCCCAUUCAACGGAAGGACGUUGAGUGCUAAGAGUUUUAAGGUGCUUGGAAACGUUGCGUGGGGAGAUGAUCAGAAUCAGUAGGAAAUAGGGAUUGAAAAGAAAGCAACCCAUAUGACUAGUUGUUGAUGGAGUGAGAUAAUGAGUUUUUUGAACAUUAGGGUUGAUGAAAUGGUCCUUCCCCAUAUGAGAUUAGGAGAUGCAUGUUUUUGAAGAUAUAAUCAAUGUAUUGUGUCGGAAGUUUUGCAAUGGUGUAGAUAACUGGUUGUUCGCAUUAAUACAAGGUAAGAAAGAAAGAAAGAAAAAGAUAGUGGUUUA